CCUACGUGAGGCAGCAGUGAGGAAUAUUGGUCAAUGGGCGCGAGCCUGAACCAGCCAAGUAGCGUGAAGGAUGACUGCCCUACGGGUUGUAAACUUCUUUUAUAAAGGAAUAAAGUUAGGCACGUGUGCCUUUUUGUAUGUACUUUAUGAAUAAGGAUCGGCUAACUCCGUGCCAGCAGCCGCGGUAAUACGGAUGAUCCGAGCGUUAUCCGGAUUUAUUGGGUUUAAAGGGAGCGUAGAUGGGUUGUUAAGUCAGUUGUGAAAGUUUGCGGCUCAACCGUAAAAUUGCAAUUGAUACUGGCAGUCUUGAGUACAGUUGAGGUAGGCGGAAUUCGUGGUGUAGCGGUGAAAUGCUUAGAUAUCACGAAGAACUCCGAUUGCGAAGGCAGCUUACUAAACUGCCACUGACAUUGAUGCUCGAAAGUGUGGGUAUCAAACAGGAUUAGAUACCCUAGUAGUC
rnacentral:rRNA from 1 species